rnacentral:rRNA from 1 species
GAUGAACGCUGGCGGCGUGCCUAAUACAUGCAAGUCGAGCGAACAGAUAAGGAGCUUGCUCCUUUGACGUUAGCGGCGGACGGGUGAGUAACACGUGGGUAACCUACCUAUAAGACUGGAAUAACUCCGGGAAACCGGGGCUAAUGCCGGAUAACAUGUUGAACCGCAUGGUUCUACAGUGAAAGGCGGCUUUGCUGUCACUUAUAGAUGGACCCGCGCCGUAUUAGCUAGUUGGUGAGGUAACGGCUCACCAAGGCAACGAUACGUAGCCGACCUGAGAGGGUGAUCGGCCACACUGGAACUGAGACACGGUCCAGACUCCUACGGGAGGCAGCAGUAGGGAAUCUUCCGCAAUGGGCGAAAGCCUGACGGAGCAACGCCGCGUGAGUGAUGAAGGUCUUCGGAUCGUAAAACUCUGUUAUUAGGGAAGAACAAAUGCGUAAGUAACUGUGCGCGUCUGGACGGUACCUAAUCAGAAAGCCACGGCUAACUACGU